rnacentral:rRNA from 1 species
CAGUAACACGUGGAUAAUCUACCCUAAGGUGGAGGAUAACCUCGGGAAACUGAGAAUAAUACUCCAUAAGUCUAAGAUGCUGGAAUGCACUUAGGCUGAAAACUUCGGUGCCUUAGGAUGAGUCUGCGGACUAUCAGGUUGUAGUCAGGGGUAAAGACCUGAUUAGCCUACGACGGAUACGGGUUGUGAGAGCAAUAACCCGGAGAUGAUAUCUGAGACACGAUAUCAGGCCCUACGGGGCGCAGCAGGCGCGAAAACUUCGCACUGCGCGAAAGCGCGACGAGGGGAUCCCAAGUGUAUGCACGUAAGUGUAUACUGUUUCUCUGUCUAAAAAGCAGGGAGAGUAAGAGCUGGGUAAGACGGGUGCCAGCCGCCGCGGUAAUACCUGCAGCUCAAGUGGUGAUCGUUAUUAUUGGGCCUAAAACGUCCGUAGCCGGUCUUGUAAAUGCCUGGGUAAAUCGUAUGGCUUAACCAUACGAAUUCUGGGUAGACUGUUAGACUCGAGACCGGGAGAGGCUAGAGGUACUCCUGGGGUAGAGGUGAAAUUCUGUAAUCCUAGGGGGACCACCAGUGGGCGAAGGCGUCUAGCCAGAACGGGGUCUGACGGGUGAGGGACGAAGCCCUGGGGCGCAAACGGGAUUAGAUACCCGGUAGUCCAGGGUGUAACGCUGCUUGCCUGAUGUUAGUCGGGCCCCG